AACGAACGCUGGCGGCAGGCUUAACACAUGCAAGUCGAACGCCCCGCAAGGGGAGUGGCAGACGGGUGAGUAACGCGUGGGAAUCUACCCAGAACUACGGAACAACUGAGGGAAACUUCAGCUAAUACCGUAUACGCCCUACGGGGGAAAGAUUUAUCGGUUUUGGAUGAGCCCGCGUUGGAUUAGCUAGUUGGUGGGGUAAUGGCCUACCAAGGCGACGAUCCAUAGCUGGUCUGAGAGGAUGAUCAGCCACACUGGGACUGAGACACGGCCCAGACUCCUCCGGGAGGCAGCAGUGGGGAAUAUUGGACAAUGGGCGAAAGCCUGAUCCAGCCAUGCCGCGUGAGUGAUGAAGGCCUUAGGGUUGUAAAGCUCUUUCAGUGGGGAAGAUAAUGACGGUACCCACAGAAGAAGCCCCGGCUAACUUCGUGCCAGCCGCCGCCGUAACAC
rnacentral:rRNA from 1 species